rnacentral:lncRNA from 1 species
AUGUUGUCUCGGUGCGCAGCGGCGCGGAGGAGGGACCGCCGCCACCAGCCCGGCUCCGCGGGGGCCGCCCGGCUCCUCCCCGCGGCCUCCGGUUCGGGCGCGGAGGCGCUGCCCCGGCCGGGAAGCGCGGUGAUCCCAGCCCGGAGCGCAUGGAGGGAAACACGGUGCGGAGGAGGGGCCGCGGUGCCCACCGGAGAUCCCGGCCAUAGGGGCGGGGAGUCUCCUCCUCCUCCUCCUCCUCCUCCCGCAGCGAGGCUCCGGCUCCCCGCACGCACCGGAGCGCUCGGCUCCCUCCUCCUCGUCCCUCCUCCCUUCCCCUCCUCCCCGCUUCCCUCCCCGGGUCGCCGCGGCUCCGGGAGGAGCGGGGGGGCCCCCGCUUCCUUCCCUCCCCCCCUCCUUCUCCCCCCCGCCACGCCGAGGAGAGGCAGGUGCAGCUCAAAUAGAACUAUAAAUCUCUGUGUGCCUUCAGUCCCUCUAAUAAGUCUUCUGGCUCUUAGAAGAUUUCAAAUAAAUUUGGCAGCAGAGAUUUCCCAGUUGCCAUAUGGGAACUUCCUUCAAUCACUACAGUCCCUGGCUGCAUUUGCACCAAUUAUUAGAGCUGUAGGAUUCCAGAUUGUAUCAUGAAUUGCUGGAUUUUGAAGGAAAACCUGGACAACUUCCCACGUGUAUGCUGAGUUUAGCAGGGAAAAGGUAAUAUUGAAAAGAUACU